AUGAGUUGCUUCCAACUCACCAAAAAAUUGUGCAGGAACCUGACAUCCAUCUCUUCUAACUUUUGGUGGGGUGAAGAUAAUGGUGAAAAAAAGGUUCAUUGGAUUGCCUGGAAGAAAAUGUGUGUCAGUAAGCAAGAGGGGGGUAUGGGGUUUCGUGACAUGGAAGCUUUCAACCAGGCUUUACUGGCCAAGCAGGCUUGGAGACUACUUCAGGCCCCAGGUUCACUUUGUGCUCGAGUUCUCAAAGCGCGUUACUAUGACCAUGGCUCCAUCCUUAAUGCGACAUGCCCCGCUGGUGCGUCAUAUACUUUCAAGAGCAUCCUGCAUGACAGAAACUUGCUGUUGGAUGGUCUGAUCUGGCGGGUGGGGAUGGGUCCUCAAUCCAGAUUCAUCAUGAUAAUUGGAUCCCUCGGAGGGGCAGCCUAA
rnacentral:rRNA from 1 species